rnacentral:rRNA from 1 species
GACGAACGCUGGCGGCGUGCUUAACACAUGCAAGUCGAGCGGAAAGGCCCUUUCGGGGGUACUCGAGCGGCGAACGGGUGAGUAACACGUGAGUAAUCUGCCCCUGGCUUUGGGAUAGCCACCGGAAACGGUGAUUAAUACCGGAUACAACCACUUCUCGCAUGGGAUGGUGGUGGAAAGUUUUUCGGCCAGGGAUGUGCUCGCGGCCUAUCAGCUUGAUGGUGAGGUAAUGGCUCACCAUGGCUUCGACGGGUAGCCGGCCUGAGAGGGUGACCGGUCACACUGGGACUGAGACACGGCCCAGACUCCUACGGGAGGCAGCAGUGGGGAAUAUUGGACAAUGGGCGGAAGCCUGAUCCAGCAACGCCGCGUGAGGGAUGACGGCCUUCGGGUUGUAAACCUCUUUCAGCAGGGACGAAGCGCAAGUGACGGUACCUGCAGAAGAAGCACCGGCCAACUACGUGCCAGCAGCCGCGGUAA